rnacentral:rRNA from 1 species
CCUACGGGUGGCAGCAGUGGGGAAUAUUGGACAAUGGGCGAAAGCCUGAUCCAGCCAUGCCGCGUGUGUGAAGAAGGCCUUCGGGUUGUAAAGCACUUUCAGUGGGGAAGAAAGCCUUGGGGCUAAUACCCUCGAGGAAGGACAUCACCCACAGAAGAAGCACCGGCUAACUCCGUGCCAGCAGCCGCGGUAAUACGGAGGGUGCGAGCGUUAAUCGGAAUUACUGGGCGUAAAGCGCGCGUAGGCGGUCUGAUAAGCCGGUUGUGAAAGCCCCGGGCUCAACCUGGGAACGGCAUCCGGAACUGUCAGGCUAGAGUGCAGGAGAGGAAGGUAGAAUUCCCGGUGUAGCGGUGAAAUGCGUAGAGAUCGGGAGGAAUACCAGUGGCAAAGGCGGCCUUCUGGACUGACACUGACGCUGAGGUGCGAAAGCGUGGGUAGCAAACAGGAUUAGAUACCCGAGUAGUC